rnacentral:rRNA from 1 species
CAGUAGCCGCGGGAAUACGUAGGGUGCGAGCGUUAAUCGGAAUUACUGUGCGUAAAGCGUGCGCAGGCGGUUUUGUAAGGCAGGCGUGAAAUCCCCGGGCUCAACCUGGGAAUGGCGCUUAUGACUGCAAAGCUAGAGUGCGGCAGAGGGGGAUGGAAUUCCGCGUGUAGCAGUGAAAUGCGUAGAUAUGCGGAGGAACACCGAUGGCGAAGGCAAUCCCCUGGGCCUGCACUGACGCUCAUGCACGAAAGCGUGGGGAGCAAACAGGAUUAGAUACCCCCGUAGUCCCUGUCUCUUAUAC